rnacentral:rRNA from 1 species
GAUGAACGCUGGCGGCGUGCCUAAUACAGGCAAGUCGAGCGAACAGACGAGGAGCUUGCUCCUGUGACGUUAUCGGCGGACGGGUGAGUCACACGUGGAUAACCUACCUAUAAAACUGGGAUAACUUCGGGAAACCGGAGCUAAUACCGGAUAAUAUAUUAAACCGCAUGGUUCAAUAGUGAAAGACGGUUUUGCUGUCACUUAUAGAUGGAUCCGCGUCGCAUUAGCUAGUUGUUAAGGUAACGGCUUACCACGGCACCGAUGCCUAACCGACCUUAGAGGGUGAUCGGCCACACUGGCACUGAGACACCUCCCAGACCACUACGGGAGGCAGCAGUAGGAACACUUUCGCAAUGGGCGAAAGCUUGACAGAGCCACGCCGCGUCAGUGAUGAAGGUCUUCGGAUUGUAAAACUCUGUUAUUAGGGAAGAACAAAUGUGUAAGUAACUAUGCACGUCUUGACGGUACCUAAUCAGAAAGCCACGGCUAACUACGUG